AUUGUACGCUGGCGGCAGGCUUAACACAUGCAAGUCGGGCGGAAACGAUGGAGCUUGCUCCAGGCGUCGAGCGGCGGACGGGUGAGUAACGCUUGGGAAUAUGCCUUAUGGUGGGGGACAACAGUUGGUAACGACUGCUAAUACCGCAUAAUGUCUACGGACCAAAGGGGGGGAUCUUCGGACCUCUCGCCAUUUGAUUAGCCCAAGUGAGAUUAGCUAGUUGGUAAGGUAAUGGCUUACCAAGGCGACGAUCUCUAGCUGGUUUGAGAGGAUGAUCAGCCACACUGGGACUGAGACACGGCCCAGACUCCUACGGGAGGCAGCAGUGGGGAAUAUUGCACAAUGGGGGGAACCCUGAUGCAGCCAUGCCGCGUGUGUGAAGAAGGCCUUCGGGUUGUAAAGCACUUUCAGUUGUGAGGAAAGGUGUGUAGUUAAUAGCUGCAUACUGUGACGUUAACAACAGAAGAAGCACCGGCUAACUUCGUGCCAGCAGCCGCGGUAAUACGAGGGGUGCAAGCGUUAAUCGGAAUUACUGGGCGUAAAGCGUUCGUAGGCGGUUGAAUAAGCAAGAUGUGAAAGCCCAGGGCUCAACCUUGGAACUGCAUUUUGAACUGUUCGACUAGAGUACUGUAGAGGGGGGUAGAAUUUCA
rnacentral:rRNA from 1 species